GACGAACGCUGGCGGCGUGCUUAACACAUGCAAGUCGAACGGAAAGGCCCCGCUUUUGUGGGGUGCUCGAGUGGCGAACGGGUGAGUAACACGUGAGUAACCUGCCCUUGACUUUGGGAUAACUUCAGGAAACUGGGGCUAAUACCUGAUAGGAGCUCCUGCUGCAUGGUGGGGGUUGGAAAGUUUCGGCGGUUGGGGAUGGACUCGCGGCUUAUCAGCUUGUUGGUGGGGUAGUGGCUUACCAAGGCUUUGACGGGUAGCCGGCCUGAGAGGGUGACCGGCCACAUUGGGACUGAGAGACGGCCCAGACUCCUACGGGAGGCAGCAGUGGGGAAUAUUGCACAAUGGGCGGAAGCCUGAUGCAGCAACGCCGCGUGCGGGAUGACGGCCUUCGGGUUGUAAACCGCUUUCGCCUGUGACGAAGCGUGAGUGACGGUAAUGGGUAAAGAAGCACCGGCUAACUACGUG
rnacentral:rRNA from 1 species